AGGUCUCUUGAGCAUUCAAGCAUGCAAGGUCUGUUUAGUUAAAACUCCUUUGAUCUAAAAACCCAAAUUUACAAUUCUUUUUGUUUUUCACUGAAUGAUUUAUCUGUUUUUUUACUUAAUGAUGUAUCUCUUAGAUUUGAUGAAGUUUUUUUUUUUUUCUUUUUAAUUAUUAUUAUUGAAAAAUUGAUUCUGUAAAUCAUUGACCGAUCAUAUUAUAUAUCCAUGUUUUAAACAAAAGUUUUAUUAGAGAAAACACAUAAGAGAAUUGGAGUAUGAUUACCAAAGAAACUAACAAGUUAUUUGUAAAACAAGAAUUUUGAGAGUUAAAAAAUAAUAUAGCUUCAAGAUACAAUGAUGCCCUAUUGCCCUACCCCAUAUAUUACCCAAUCUUUCCGACACGACGAGAAAAAUACUCUUAGAAAUACUAUUAGAAAUAUACUCUUAGAAAUACUAUCGAUGCUUUUGUGCUCACAAUAUAAUGUGAUAUGUAUUUGAUAUUUGAAUAGAUUAAGGAAAUAAGUGAGAUUUUGUUAUAGUUGUGUUAAAAAAAAUACGAGAGAAUGACUUUGUAAUGUGUACCUAGGAUGGUUUAGGAGAAGCAUACAAAAUUUAGCAGCACUCCAACUAGUAAGGCAGUUAGGCAGGACUUGAUAGAUUGUUAUACAUGCCAACUUGGACGCAGGGAUUUGCACCCCUUUGCAUCUGAAGUGCAUCAAUUUUUUUUCCUGGAGCCUUCCUGGAGGCAGGGAUUUGCCCCCUUUGAAUGACAUCACUCAACCUGUCUUUAAGUCUCUAACUGUAUAUGCCUGUAUCUUCGUGAUAGUCACAACAUAACACAAUGCGAAUAAAUAUAGAUCAAGAAACUGGUGAACUAAAUACGGGGAUAAUAGGACAUUAUUGCAGACUGGUGAACUAUGAAAACAGUCCGAUUUGAUUUGAUAUUGCUGCCACAGUGCCACAAAACUAAAAUAACAGACAAAUCCAUAACUAAAUACAAGGACAAUAAGAUCUGUAUAUUUAAAAUUAACCACAAAAUGGUCGUUGGUGAUAAUUAUGUACAAUGGUAGAAUUCGUUGUUUUUUACAAGAGAUGAUGAAGUUGCUUUGUUUUAAUUUGGGUUGCUUGUUAUCAUCUCAAUAUACCAGGUAUCUAUAAAAUGAGUUCUUCAAAAUCUUCUUCUUCGGAACUUGGAGACAAAUAUGAACUUGGUAAUAUUCCUUUCAUUUUUCAAUAUAGCUUUACAACAAGCUCUGAAAGUAAAAUCUCUACUUAAUCUUCAUACUGAAGUUGAUGCCUUGAUCAGAAAGUAAUAGAUUCUCUGAAACAAUUAAUCUGGAACAUGUUCAUGUUCAGAACGAAUGCUAGAUUGAUAUUGAUGCAUGCCUAGAGCAUGAACCUUCUCUAGGAUCUUUGGUUGAACUUUGUUUGAUCUAUUCUCGUGUUAUUUAAACAUAUAUGCAGAUAACUUUUGUUAUUUAAAGUCGAGAACAAUAAUUGAUAAUGUCUAGUAUACAGAAUCUGUGUUAAUUUUCUUCCAGCUAUUUUUUCCAAUUUAUAUCAUCCUGGAAUGUGGAAGGUAACAAUGUUAGAAUGGAAUGAGAAUGAUAACUUAUGCUGGAAGGCAGAAAUCCAUUUGGGUCAGACAUGGUUGUGACUUUAGAACCCAAGUGGGGGUGGAGUCAUGCAAGAUUGCAAGCAGUGUGACAUGUCAACUACAAUCUGGCUACC
rnacentral:lncRNA from 1 species